rnacentral:lncRNA from 1 species
CAAGGCUCUGCAUUGGCCCUUCUGGAAAGUUUUCCUCUUUUUCUAAGAAUUAAGUCAUGUAGUUUUGUGGGAUAGAGCCAGAAAUAGCUACGAUGCUCUUCACCUUUCAGGGAAUAGGAGAUCUGGUCCACGCAAAAACACAUGAGUAGAAGCAUUUCCCAAAUGUUUGAGGAACAGCAUUAGACUUAUCUGAACCUGGAUUUUGAGAGAUGAAGUCCUGAUUCAAGUCUCUGCAUCCCAGGUGCAUCUCUAACUGGAAGGUGAUCUCAAAGGAGAAUGCUCAGGGGGAAUUCAGGGACCAGAGAUUUAAUGACUGCAGUUUUAUAGUCUUCAUCAGACCAUCAAGGCUAUAGUCCAAAGAUAGGAGUUAUCAUCUCCAUGAAUUCUGUCAUCUCAAUCAACCUUCAAGGGAAAAUCAUCGCAAGAAGGCCUCAGGGUGACCGUAUUAGCCUUACCUAUGUGGAGACCUCAUCUUCGCUUAGAGCUAGAAACUUUGGAAAUCUGGAUAAUCCCAUGCUUUUCCUCUGGAACAGGAGAUUUGGAGAAUGCGUAUGUCAGUAGGUAUCUAGGUGGUUUGACUAAAAGGAAGUGGUUGUUUGCACUAGAGAUGAUUAGUCACUUGGAAU